GACGAACGCUGGCGGCGUGCCUAAUACAUGCAAGUAGAACGCAGUUGCGAACGGGUGAGUAACGCGUAGGUAACUGCCGGGUAGAGGGGGAGAACUAUUGGAAACGAAAGCUAAUACCGCAUACUACCAGAUGGACCUGCGUUGUAUUAGCUAGUUGGUUAGGUACCGGCCCACCAAGGCAACGAUACAUAGCCGACCGGAGAGGGUGAUCGGCCAAACGGGGACUGAGACACGGCCCAGACUCCUACGGAAGGCAGCAGUGGGGAAUAUUGCACAAUGGGCGCAAGCCUGAUGCAGCAAGGCCGCGUGUAUGAAGAAGGCCCUCGGGUUGUAAAGUACUUUCUGUCGGGAGGCGUUACCGACAGAAGAAGCACCGGCUAACUCCGUGCCAGCAGCCGCGGUAAUAC
rnacentral:rRNA from 1 species